AUUGAACGCUGGCGGCAUGCCUUACACAUGCAAGUCGAACGGCAGCAUGAUCUAUCUUGCUAGAUUGAUGGCGAGUGGCGAACGGGUGAGUCAUACAUCGGAACGUUCCCUGUAGCGGGGGAUAACUAGUCGAAAGAUUAGCUAAUACCGCAUACGACCCGAGGGUGAAAGUGGGGGACCGCAAGGCCUCAUGCUCUAGGAACGGCCGAUGUCUGAUUAGCUAGUUGGUGGGGUAAAGGCCCACCAAGGCGACGAUCAGUAGCUGGUCUGUGAGGACGAUCAGCCACACUGGGACUGAGACACGGCCCAGACUCCUACGGGAGGCAGCAGUGGGGAAUUUUGGACAAUGGGCGAAAGCCUGAUCCAGCAAUGCCGCGUGUGUGAAGAAGGCCUUCGGGUUGUAAAGCACUUUUGUCCGGAAAGAAAUGGCUCUGGUUAAUACCUGGGGCUGAUGACGGUACCGGAAGAAUAAGGACCGGCUAACUACGUG
rnacentral:rRNA from 1 species